UACGAAGGGGGCUAGCGUUGCUCGGAAUCACUGGGCGUAAAGCGCACGUAGGCGGCUUCUUAAGUCAGGGGUGAAAUCCUGGGGCUCAAACCCAGAACUGCCCUUGAUACUGAGGAGCUUGAGUCCGGGAGAGGUGAGUGGACCUCCGAGUGUAGAGGGGAAAUUCGUAGAUAUUCGGAAGAACACCAGUGGCGAAGGCGGCUCACUGUCCCGGUCGUGACGCUCAAGUGCCACAGGGUGGGGAGGAAACAGG
rnacentral:rRNA from 1 species